rnacentral:rRNA from 1 species
AGAUCGGGAUAACACCUGGAAACAGAUGCUAAUACCNGGGAAUAACAACAGAUGAUGCCUAUCAACUGUUUAAAAGAUGGUUCUGCUAUCACUCUUGGAUGGACCUGCGGUGCAUUAGCUAGUUGGUAGGGUAACGGCCUACCAAGGCGAUGAUGCAUAGCCGAGUUGAGAGACUGAUCGGCCACAUUGGGACUGAGACACGGCCCAAACUCCUACGGGAGGCAGCAGCC